rnacentral:rRNA from 1 species
UGCAGUCGAGCGGAACGAGAAGUAGCUUGCUACUUCGGCGUCGAGCGGCGGACGGGUGAGUAAUGCCUAGGAAGUUGCCCAGUAGAGGGGGAUAACCAUUGGAAACGAUGGCUAAUACCGCAUAAUCUCUUUGGAGCAAAGCAGGGGACCUUCGGGCCUUGUGCUAUUGGAUACGCCUAGGUGGGAUUAGCUAGUUGGUGAGGUAAUGGCUCACCAAGGCGACGAUCCCUAGCUGGUCUGAGAGGAUGAUCAGCCACACUGGAACUGAGACACGGUCCAGACUCCUACGGGAGGCAGCAGUGGGGAAUAUUGCACAAUGGGCGAAAGCCUGAUGCAGCCAUGCCGCGUGUAUGAAGAAGGCCUUCGGGUUGUAAAGUACUUUCAGUCGUGAGGAAGGGGGUAAGUUUAAUACGCUUAUCUCUUGACGUUAGCGACAGAAGAAGCACCGGCUAACUCCGUGCCAGCAGCCGCGGUAAUACGGAGGGUGCGAGCGUUAAUCGGAAUUACUGGGCGUAAAGCGCAUGCAGGUGGUUCGUUAAGUCAGAUGUGAAAGCCCGGGGCUCAACCUCGGAACUGCAUUUGAAACUGGCGGACUAGAGUACUGUAGAGGGGGGUAGAAUUUCAGGUGUAGCGGUGAAAUGCGUAGAGAUCUGAAGGAAUACCAGUGGCGAAGGCG